UACAGAGGAUGCAAGCGUUAUCCGGAAUCAUUGGGCGUAAAGCGUCUGUAGGUGGCUUUUUAAGUCCGCCGUCAAAUCCCAGGGCUCAACUCUGGACAGGCGGUGGAAACUACCAAGCUGGAGUACGGUAGGGGCAGAGGGAAUUUCCGGUGGAGCGGUGAAAUGCGUAGAGAUCGGAAAGAACACCAACGGCGAAAGCAGGCAGCUGGGACGACACUGACACUGAGAGACGAAAGCUAGGGGAGCGAAUGGG
rnacentral:rRNA from 1 species